GGUGGCCCUGAAUUCUGAGCCUGUUGAGUCGGUGCCCCAUAUGUCUCAGGGUUUGGGAUUCAGGUGCCUCC
ensembl:miRNA